ensembl:lncRNA
UAUAUAUAUAUAUAUAUAUAUAUAAAUGGUUGCAGCUUAUAGGCAUAUAAAUGUUAAUUUUCCAAAUUCUUCACAUUAAACCUUUGUAAUAAAAUGAAUAUCACCGAGCACUUUUGGGGGAAGAAAAGAGAUGAACACUCCAGCAUGAAAUGGGAUUUUGAUAUAUGAAAGUGAUUUAUUUAACUCGUGUCUUUCUCAGGCAUUUCACAACUGGGUCUUACUAACGUGUUACUCUGUUUCCAGCAUCUCAUUCGUUUAGCUGCACACUGUUUCUUCCAAGAACCUGGAGGAAGCUAAUUUAAAAAUAUUUACGUAAAGCAGAAAUGUGCAGUGUUUUUGCACAUUGCAGAAAUGUGCAAUGUGCAAUCUACUUUUUUUGUGGGAAAAAGCAAAUAGCUUUAAGAAAACAUCCUCUAGGGAGUGAAAAAGGUCGGCACCAAAUAUUUCAGUUUCCCCAGAGCCUACUCUAAAAACUGGAACUGAACCAAACUUUACUUUUGCUAUUAAUAAUUUUUAUUUACUUUUAUUUGGUUUAUUAACAACAAAAACAAUACAGCAGAAUGUAUCCUACUUAAAAAAAAAAUCUACUUGAUCAGUUUUAAUCCACACUGAUGCAGUUUCCUCAAAACUAUCUUUUGACUCAACACGCUGCAAGGACAGAUAAAGUUGAACAACAACACGAGUCUAGACUCAUCAGCCUUGAGGUUUCUUCAGUUGGGACAGACAAAGGAACAAACAGGAAACUUGUUCUGCGGCUGUUCAAGAGAAGGUGUAGGCCCCGCCCUCUGGGAUUACGAUUGGCCGUGAGAAAGAUGCACACCACGGCAACAGCUUCUGAUUGGCUAGCUGAGCUGUGAACUAAUGUUCUUUAACUCUGCUGGAGUGUGUAAACAGCUUUUUCAGAGUAGAGGGUGGUUGAAAAAUUUAAAAGGCCUGGACCCCAGCAAGAGAAGUAAAUGUUAAUGUUCUCAGCUGUGAAUUCUUUCUAUGGGGCCUCUGAAAUAUAUCAGGUCCACCUCAUUAGGUCAAAAUAGCCAAACUUUAUCUCAUUUAUCUAGUAUUCGCCUAGUGUGUCUAGUAAAAGCUAAAGCUUUUUUUGGAAAAGCAUAACAGUACACUAUUAUUUCUGGGUUUUGCGAAUUGCGUUCUGACUCAUUUCAGAAUGUAAUGAGCAAUUAUAAUGUCUGUUUCUUUUCACAUACUUGGGUGGAGCAUGUUUUCGGACCAAAAAAUCUAUUUUUUUUUUUUUUUUAGCUGUUUGAAGUCAGCAUGAGUUAAAAUUCACCCCAUCAAUUUUCUAAAUGCAUGUUAAUUAUUUGAAUGAUUCAUCCAUGAAAAUGUUUCAUUUUUAAAAAAAAAAAAAUCAAAAUUUAAACUUCACAGACUUCUGGUGAUGUAUGCCUUACUUUUCCAGUCAUUUAAUCCACGUAAAUAUAUCACACCUUUCUUAUAAUCUGCAAGCUCACAUUCUGAUCUGCCUCCAUCCAAUCAACAACCGCAAGAAAACAAUUUUCCGUUCAGAGCACUCACUCCCAGACCACAGCAAAACUGCUUAGUAUAAAUGAUUUGUUAAUUGAUGGGAGUGCAAAGCUGAUUCACAUUAGCACACAGAUUGAGAGAGAAAAAAAACAAUCAUAUCCUGUCACCCCACAGACCAAAACUCCACAGAAGCCACUGCUCCAGAAGAGUCGGUCCCCACUCAGGGACUCACCCCAAGGAUGGUGGAGACCUUCGAAAACACUGACUCCUUCCCCUCGCAGGUGGAGGGUGCGGCGGUGCAGCCCGUGAAGGGAGUCCGACAGCAGGUCAGGAGUGGACCCAAGAAGAAGAAAGACCUUGGGACUCUCGGUAAGUGUUGAGUUGUCUAAAACACCAAACCACAUCCAAGAACCGAGAAGUUCAUGGGUAUAUUGGUUGUCUUUGCUACCUUGGCAGGUUAUGUUCUGGCCGUCUUCAUGAUGGCCAUUAUCAUCCUACUUGGAGGUGGCAUCACAAUAGGAUACUUCUACAAACGGGGUCGUGACCUCAAGAAACAGCACGAGCAGCGGGUUUACGAGCGUGAGAUGCAUCGCAUCACUCUUCCACUCUCAGCCUUUGCCAACCCCACCUGCGAGCUGGUGGAUGAGAACACCAUCGUCAUCACAGCUCAACCCAACAACCAGACCCCCACUCAGGAGCCCGUCGAGGGGGCCGACCCGCUUAUGGGGACAGCAGGGACCCCUGGAGCCUGAUGGAGGAACAGGAUGAGCGCCUGGAAAGGCGUCUUUGUUAAGACAUGUCUAUGCAGUAUUGCAGAAUCUCAGAGGACUAAACCCCAUGUCCACCUUCCCUCUGCCUGUCGUCUCUUUUCUCUUUACCUUGCCUUUACAGCACGGUUUCACAGUAAAGGUAGGGCAUAUGCCUUGAGAGAGUGGUGGAAAGCAUUUUUUGUCCCAGACAGUGUCCUUAUUUUCUCAACAAAGUUGUUGGGGAAAGUAGGACAUGUGGGGAUACACUGGAAGAAGGUGAAAUGGUGGGUUUGUAUUAAUAUGCAUGUCAGGGAUUCCCGUGGAGAAAAAUUGCAAGUACGUUUUGUGAGCAUCAUCACAGGGCAUGAACUUUCCCUGCUUGUUAAACUCCAACGAGACGGCGACUGUCCAGUUAACUGUGCCGUGUCCUCUGGAUCAGAUCAUCAGAUGUUCUGGGGUUUUGAAAGAGAAGACAAUCCACUCUUAUCUUCUUUCCUGCCUUUUCUGUUGUUUUUGUUCCUAACGCAGUUGUGGUGGAGAGUUGAGACUGAAAUUGUACAUGUGUAUCUGAAUUUGUUGCUCUACAGCUGGGCUGUUUAUUCUUUAGGGAGAUUUGGUUAGCAACUAGAGCUAAUUGAGUUAAUUGCCUUUGAUAGCUCUUCCCCAGAAAUCCAUAUUCAUUAGGCAGAUCAUGUGGCCUGGGAUGCUAGCGCUAAGCUAGGUGAAGGUUUUGACUAAAUGAAGAGGAAAUCUUUCCAGAGAUCUUGCCUUAGUAAAUUACAUUUGAAUGUAUUGUUGCUCCUGUGGCCACAGUCUGAUGAAGAGCAAGUGAGCGCUGUCAUGACUUCAGCAAACCAGUCAGAGUGGGUCUCUGGGUACAUUUACUGUAUCCGUGUUCAUUUGUUCCUGAACAUACAGAUGGUCUGAAAUAGGACAUAGUUUGAAGCUUGAACCUGAAACUGAGAGUGUGUUCAAGAUGACGUAUUAAAGUAAUGUAUUAUGGUUUUAUUUAACAGAGAUGGGAUUUUUUUGAUGAAUG